UACGUAGGGUGCGAGCGUUGUCCGGAAUUACUGGGCGUAAAGAGCUCGUAGGUGGUUUGUCGCGUUGUUCGUGAAAUGCCACAGCUUAACUGUGGGCGUGCGGGCGAUACGGGCAGACUGGAGUACUGCAGGGGAGACUGGAAUUCCUGGUGUAGCGGUGGAAUGCGCAGAUAUCAGGAGGAACACCGGUGGCGAAGGCGGGUCUCUGGGCCGAUAUUGACGCUGAGGAGCGAAAGCGUGGGGAGCGAACAGG
rnacentral:rRNA from 1 species